UGGUGACCAUACGGACGGGGAAACGCCUGAUCCCAUUCCGAACUCAGAAGCUAAGCCCGCCCGGCCGAUGAUAGUCCUUAUGGGUGAAAGUAGGUGAUCGCCAGGUU
rnacentral:rRNA from 1 species